AUACUUACCUGGCAGGGGAGAUACCAUGAUCAAGAAGGUGGUUCACCCAGGGCGAGGCUCAGCCAAUGCACCCCGGCUGUGCUGACCUUUGCGAAUUCCCCAAAUGUGGGAAUCUCGACUGCAUAAUUUCUGGUAGUGGGGGACUGCGUUCGCGCUCUCCCCUG
rnacentral:snRNA from 1 species